GCCCUCGUAGUGAAAUGGAUAUCACAACUGCCUUCGAAGCAGUUAUUGUGGGUUCGAAUCCUGCCGAGGGCG
rfam:Parcubacteria bacterium GW2011_GWB1_44_7 TW71_C0012, whole genome shotgun sequence.